GAUGAACGCUGGCGGCGUGCCUAAUACAUGCAAGUCGAGCGAACAGAUGAGGAGCUUGCUCCUCUGACGUUAGCGGCGGACGGGUGAGUAACACGUGGAUAACCUACCUAUAAGACUGGGAUAACUUCGGGAAACCGGAGCUAAUACCGGAUAAUAUAUUGAACCGCAUGGUUCAAUAGUGAAAGACGGUUUUGCUGUCACUUAUAGAUGGAUCCGCGCCGCAUUAGCUAGUUGGUAAGGUAACGGCUUACCAAGGCAACGAUGCGUAGCCGACCUGAGAGGGUGAUCGGCCACAAUGGAACUGAGACACAGUCCAGACUCCUACGGGAGGCAGCAGUAGGGAAUCUUCCGCAAUGGGCGAAAGCCUGACGGAGCAACGCCGCGUGAGUGAUGAAGGUCUUCGGAUCGUAAAACUCUGUUAUUAGGGAAGAACAAAUGUGUAAGUAACUAUGCACGUCUUGACGGUACCUAAUCAGAAAGCCACGACUAACUACGUG
rnacentral:rRNA from 1 species